rnacentral:rRNA from 1 species
UACGUAGGGAGCAAGCGUUGUUCGGAUUUACUGGGCGUAAAGGGCGCGUAGGCGGCGCGGUAAGUCACUUGUGAAAUCUCUGAGCUUAACUCAGAACGGCCAAGUGAUACUGCAGUGCUAGAGCGCAGAAGGGGCAAUCGGAAUUCUUGGUGUAGCGGUGAAAUGCGUAGAUAUCAAGAGGAACACCUGAGGUGAAGACGGGUUGCUGGGCUGACACUGACGCUGAGUGCGCGAAAGCCAGGGGAGCAAACGGG